rnacentral:rRNA from 1 species
UAUUAUUUUUUGAUGUUAAUUAUUUAACCUGAGUAGUAAUAGAUAUGGUCUUGAAACUUAAAGAAUUUGGCAGUAUUUUAUUCUGUUCAGAGGAACCUGUUCUUUUAUCGAUAAUCCUCGUUGGACCUUACUUAGUUUAUUGAUUUGUAUACCGCCGUUGUAUUGAGGAUCUUUAUAGUGUUUUAAUUUUCUAGUUUUUAUUUUAGUUUAUUUCAGGUCAAGGUGCAAUUUAUGAUUGAGUAGAAAUGGGUUACGUUUAUAUUUAUUUUUGGAUUAUUAAAUGGAAUUUUGAUAUGAAAUUGGAUUUGAAUGUAAUUGUUAUUUUAGAUUGUAUUGAUGAUUAAGUUUCUAGAAUGUGUACAUAUCGCCCGUCACUCUCGUUAUUUAUUCGAG